GUCUCUCUCUGUCUCUCCCUCUGUCUCUGUCUCUCUGUUUCUCUGUCUCUAUUUCUGUCUCUCUGUCUCUCUUUAUCUCUCUGUCUCUAUCUCUGUCUCUCUGUCUCUCUCUGUGUCUCUGUCUCUGUCUCUCUGUCUCUCUGUCUCUAUUUCUGUCUCUCUGUCUCUCUUUAUCUCUCUGUCUCUAUCUCUGUCUCUCUGUCUCUCUCUGUGUCUCUGUCUCUGUCUCUCUGUGUCUCUUUCUCUAUCUCUGUCUCUGUCUCUGUCCCUGUCUCUCUCUGUCUCUGUCUCUGUCUCUCUGUAUCUCUGUCUCUCUGUCUCUGUCUGUCUGUCUCUAUCUCUGUCUCUGUCUCUCUGUCUCUGUCACUCUCUGUCUCUGUCUCUCUGUGUCUCUCUGUCUCUCUUUCUCUCUGUGUCUCUCUCUCUGUUUGUCUCUUUCUCUCUGUCUCUGUCUCUGUCUGUCUCUGUCUGUCUCUGUCUGUCUCUGUCUCUCUGUCUCUAUCUCUGUCUCUGUCUCUCUCUCUGUCUCUUUCUCUCUCUGUCUCUGUCUCUCUGUCUGUCUCUGUCUCUCUCUGUCUCUCUGUCUCUAUCUCUGUCUCUGUCUCUUCUCUGUCUCUGUCUCUGUCUCUCUCUGUCUCUGUCUCUCUGUCUCUGUCUCUCUCUCUGUCUCUGUCUCUGUCUGUCUCUUUCUCUCUGUCUCUCUCUAUCUCUGUCUCUGUCUCUGUCUCUUUCUCUCUGUCUCUCUCUCUGUGUCUCUGUCUCUGUCUCUUUCUCUCUCUGUCUCUUUCUCUGUCUCUGUCUCUGUCUCUCUCUGUCUCUGUCUCUCUGUCUCUAUCUGUCUCUUUCUCUCUGUCUCUCUCUGUCUCUCUCUCUGUCUCUGUCUCUCUCUGUCUCUCUGUCUCUGUCUCUCUCUGUCUCUGUCUCUGUCUGUCUCUCACGGGCACACACACGAGGGGAGCGUGCCUGCUGUGCAGCCCGGAGACACGGAGACAGGCAGUCAGGCCCGGGGCU
rnacentral:lncRNA from 1 species